rnacentral:lncRNA from 1 species
AAAGCUUCUUAGAAGAUCUUACAGGAUUGAGCAACCAGCCAGCCACAGCAGGGGCCAACUGGAUAACACGUCUUUGCAUAGGCUCUCCCUCUGUCCCUGUCACCCUCCCCUUUUCCUAACCUUGUUCCUUGGGAUUAUGUUUUGAAAUAAAUUAUUCAGAGAAAUGAAGCCAAAGCUGACCCAUUAGCCAAUAGCUAGGUUCUGUGAUGACAGAGCUUCUGGGCUAUAAUCGUUUACUGAGAAGCCAGCGUUCCUGAGGGGAUAAUGGCUCGUUCCAUUCAGCUGCAGCAUAGGAGUGAGGGCAGGGCAUUAGCAGAAGAUAACACCAGAAACGUGCUCUGGGGCCUGUUGAUGACUUUCUGUGCCAAGCACAGACAUUUAGCCUUUAUUCUGUAUGUGAUGGGAAGCCAGUGCCAGUGGUGGGUUUGAGCAGGGAACCAGCAACCAGUGGUGGGUUUGAGCAGGGAACCAGCAAUACUCAAGCUCUGCUUGGAUGGAGGCCAGUCAGGGAGGAGUUAGGGCAGGAGGACCAGUCAGGGAGGAGACUUAGGGCAGGAGGACCAGUCAGGGAGGAGACUUAGGGCAGGAGGACCGGUCAGGGAGGAGACUUAGGGCAGGAGUACUGGUCAGGGAGGAGACUUAGGGCAGGAGGACCGGUCAGGGAGGAGACUUAGGGCAGGAGGACCGGUCAGGGAGGAGACUUAGGGCAGGAGGACCGGUCAGGGAGGAGUUAGGGCUGGAGGACGGGUCAGGGAGGAGACUUAGGGCAGGAGGACCGGUCAGGGAGGAGACUUAGGGCAGGAGGACCGGUCAGGGAGGAGACUUAGGGCAGGAGGACUGGUCAGGGAGGAGUUAGGGCAGGAGGACCGGUCAGGGAGGAGUUAGGGCAGUAGGACAGGUCAGGGAGGAGUUAGGGCAGGAGGAUCGGUCAGGGAGGAGUUAGGGCAGGAGGACCGGUCAGGGAGGAGUUAGGGCAGGAGGACCGGUCAGGGAGGAGUUAGGGCAGGAGGACAGGUCAGGGAGGAGACUUAGGGCUGGAGGACUGGUCAGGGAGGAGUUAGGGCAGGAGGACCAGUUAGGAGGCAGUGACUUAGGACUUCAGCAGUGGCACUAGAAAGGGGAUGGAUAUGAACGACAUUGCAAAGUAAAACUAGAGAGACGGCCGGGCACAGUGGCUCACUCCUGUAAUCCCAGCACUUUGGGAGGCCAAGGCGGGUGG